rnacentral:rRNA from 1 species
AGUGAACGCUGGCGGUAGGCCUAACACAUGCAAGUCGAACGGCAGCACCGUAAGUGCUUGCUCUUACGGGUGGCGAGUGGCGUACGGGUGAGGAAUACAUCGUAAUCUACUUUUUCUUGGGUGUUAACGUAGGGAAACUUACGCUAAUACCGCAUACUACCUACGUUUUAAAUCAUGGGUUCUUCUGACCUUUCUCGUUUGUAUGAGCCGAUGUCGGAUUAGCUAGUUGGCUGGGUAAAGGCCCACCAAGGCGACGAUGCGUAGCUGGUCUGAGAGGAUGAUCAGCAACACUGGAACGGAGACACGGUACAGAAUACUACGGGAGGAAGCAGUGGGGAAUAUUGGAGAAUGGGCGAAAGCCUGAUCCAGCAAUACCGCGGGGGUGAAGAAGGACUUCGGGUUGUAAAGCCCUUUUGUUGGGAAAGAAAAGAAGCAGGUUAAUACCCAGCUGUUCUGACGGUACCAAAAGAAUAAGCACCGGCCAACUUCGUG